rnacentral:rRNA from 1 species
GACGAACGCUGGCGGCGUGCCUAAUACAUGCAAGUAGAACGCUGAAGAGAGGAGCUUGCUCUUCUUGGAUGAGUUGCGAACGGGUGAGUAACGCGUAGGUAACCUGCCUUGUAGCGGGGGAUAACUAUUGGAAACGAUAGCUAAUACCGCAUAACAAUGGAUGACACAUGUCAUUUAUUUGAAAGGGGCAAUUGCUCCACUACAAGAUGGACCUGCGUUGUAUUAGCUAGUGGGUGAGGUAAUGGCUCACCUAGGCGACGAUACAUAGCCGACCUGAGAGGGUGAUCGGCCACACUGGGACUGAGACACGGCCCAGACUCCUACGGGAGGCAGCAGUAGGGAAUCUUCGGCAAUGGGGGCAACCCUGACCGAGCAACGCCGCGUGAGUGAAGAAGGGUUUCGGAUCGUAAAGCUCUGUUGUAAGUCAAGAACGGGUGUGAGAGUGGAAAGUUCACACUGUGACGGUAGCUUACCAGAAAGGGACGGCUAACUACGUG